CAAUAGCGUAUAUUAAAGUUGUUGCAGUUAAAAGCUCGUAGUUGAACUUCUGGCGGUUGUCUUCGCUGGCUUCGGUCGCGUUGAUGGCUGUCAUCCGCUUGGGAACCUCAUUCGGUCUUCAUUGGUCGGUGGGAGGAUCAGGCAUUUUACUUUGAAAAAUUAGAGUGUUCAAGGCAGGCAAUCGCCAUGAAUACACAAGCAUGGAAUAAUGGAAUAGGACUCUCAGUCAUUUUAUUGGUUAUUGACUGGUAGUAAUGAUUAAUAGGGACAGUUGGGGGCAUUCGUAUUUAAUUGUCAGAGGUGAAAUUCUUGGAUUUAUUAAAGACGAACUUAUGCGAAAGCAUUUGCCAAGGAUGUUUUCAUUAAUCAAGAACGAAAGUUAGGGGAUCAAAGAUGAUUAGAUACCAU
rnacentral:rRNA from 1 species